rnacentral:tRNA from 1 species
GCGGGUGUAGCUCAGUGGUAGAGCACUGCCUUGCCAAGGCAGUUGUCGUGAGUUCAAAUCUCAUCACCCGCU